UAGGUGAACCUGCGGAAGGAUCAUUAUUGAAUUU
rnacentral:rRNA from 1 species